rnacentral:rRNA from 1 species
ACGCUCGACACCUACGGGAGACAGCAGUGGGGAAUAUUGCACAAUGGGGGAAACCCUGAUGCAGCGACGCCGCGUGGAGGAAGAAGGUCUUCGGAUUGUAAACUCCUGUUGUUGGGGAAAAAGAGGAUGGUACCCAACAAGGAAGUGACGGCUAACUACGUGUCAGCAGCCGCGGUAAUCUGAGGCGGGCUGGCAAGGC